GACGAACGCUGGCGGCGUGCUUAACACAUGCAAGUCGAACGGAAAGGCCCUGCUUUUGUGGGGUGCUCGAGUGGCGAACGGGUGAGUAACACGUGAGUAACCUGCCCUUGACUUUGUGAUAACUUCAGGAAACUGGGGCUCAUACCGGAUAGGAGCUCCUGCUGCAUGGGGGGGGUUGGAAAGUUUCGGCGGUUGGGGCUAGACUCGCGGCUUAUCAGCUUGUUUGUGGGGUAGUUGCGUACGAAGGGUUUGACGGCUAGCCGGCCUGAGAGCGUGACCGGCCACAUUGGGCCUGCGAUACGCAGCAGACGCGUACGGGACGCAGUAGGCGGGAAUCUUGCACAAUGGCCGCAAGCCUGAUACAGCAACCCUGCGUGCGGAAUGACGGCCUUCGGGUUGAAAACCGCUUUCGCCUGUGACGAAGCGUGCGUGACGGUAAUGAGUAAAGAAGCACCGGCUAACUACGUG
rnacentral:rRNA from 1 species